rnacentral:rRNA from 1 species
ACUCAAAUGAAUUGACGGGGGCCCGCACAAGCGGAGGAACAUGUGGUUUAAUUCGAUGAUACGCGAGGAACCUUACCCGGGAUUGAAAUGUACCUGAAUACGGUGGAAACACUGUAGCUAGCAAUAGCAGGUAUGUAGGUGCUGCAUGGUUGUCGUCAGCUCGUGCCGUGAGGUGUCGGCUUAAGUGCCAUAACGAGCGCAACCCACAUUGACAGUUACUAACAGGUAAAGCUGAGGACUCUGUCGAGACUGCCGGCGUAAGCUGUGAGGAAGGUGUGGAUGACGUCAAAUCAGCACGGCCCUUACAUCCGGGGCGACACACGUGUUACAAUGGUUGGGACAAAGGGCAGCUACCUGGUGACAGGAUGCGAAUCUCCAAACCCAAUCUCAGUUCGGAUCGGAGUCUGCAACUCGACUCCGUGAAGCUGGAUUCGCUAGUAAUCGCGCAUCAGCCAUGGCGCGGUGAAUACGUUCCCGGGCCUUGUACACACCGCCCGU